ensembl:lncRNA
GCAGAGAUUUCCUGGUUUCAAUUUUUAAAAAAUGUAUGUGCAUAAUAAUGCUUUCUUUAAUAAAAUUUCCUUCCUUGGGUCAUCUUUUUCCUAUCUUUUAAAUAUAAGAAUUUUUAUGACAUUUAUGCUGUUUCUACACUGGCUUGGUGGCCAGAAGAGAAGGCACAAGAUUCUCCACCAGUUUGCAAAUAAUGCAUUUUUCUGCUCCAGUGCUCAAACAGCCUUUAUUUAACUCAGCACCACAUUUUCUAAGGUAUGGGCACAAAACUGUUUGUCAUGAAGCUGUAAAAUGCCAAAAAUUUUAAAUGCUGAAAGAAUAUGUCAAUCAAGGCAUUUUCCCAUCUGCUGCUACUUCUGCAAGUGCUAAUUUUGUUUUUCCCAAUUCCUGAAAUUUGAGGUUUCUUAGACUCAUAUGUAAGUAAGUUUGAAACUCGCUAAAUGUCACAAGAAAAGGUGUAACCCAACGAAAGAAUAGAAGGUGUAUUGUUCUCAAAGGACACCAACAAAAAGAGGCAGAAGAGCACUGAUAUAAAGGAAAACGUUUUGUUAAGACCCAGACCUCUUGAAAAACACUACACAAUGCAAGUAACCACUGCUGGUACAUACAUGCAUUAAAGCAUUUUUCAUGAUUUUGAAAUAUAAUGGAAAAACACAUCUGAACCACUUAAAAUACUUUUGAGAACCAACUGAUGGUUUAAUAUCUACAUAGGCAGAAGCUGCAUGUUAUUGAAAAAACAUGAAGAAGUGUCAGGUAUUGGUACAAAUGUUAAUUCUUGUGAUUUAGCAUGACUUUAAUAAAAGCUUCUACAAGGACUUGCACAUAACCAUGACUGAUGGAUGUAUUUUUUGACCUUUCAGUUAGCUCCAUCAGCUCACUCAAACACAUUUUGAACAGAUUAUGUACUGUAGUACUUGGUAGACUAUACAUUAAACGAGAGACUUUGCUCUGAGGCACUGCUUCCCACACUCCAUGGGGAAAAGGAAGCAGGAAAAAACAAAACUCAUAGAGUUCGACAGCUACCGAGGCAACACUUGCCAUUUACAAUAUAAGCCCAAAUAUUUUUGCAACACAACUAUAUAUUAAUUUAAUAAAAUACACAAUAUAGCUCUUAUACACUCAACAAUUUGGCUCAUAUGCACUGAAUCUGCAAUAAAUCAAUAAAAAUAUGUCAUUUGAUGUAAACACAUUGAAUCUUCUUACAUUUGCACAUUUAAAUGGUCAUGUGAUUUGUGUAUGUCUAAGACAUUUUCACUUUCCUGAGCUAUUUUAGUGUCCACAAAUGAAUAAAACAUAUUUAAUCAAGUUAAUUUUAUCUGAAUCUUACCACUCAAUGGUAACUAUUUUUAAGAACUUUUCUAUGUCAAAUUUAAGACAUACUCAUCAUUAGUUAAAUCUUUGUUGGACACUAAAAUGCUAAAUAGGCAUUUUAAAUCUUUAAAUUUUCUUCUUUAAUGACGUGAAUUAGUCUACUUGUGUGCAGGAACAAAAUGGACUAUAUCUUUUUACAUUUAACUUUUAUACGACAUGAGGUGUCUUACAAAUGACCAGAUACUUUUUUUGUUGUUUUUGUUUUGUUUUUGACUAAUGAUAUGGAAUGCUCUUUGUGUUUAUAUGUGUGUCAGGUAACUUUAUACAGAAAUGUUUACCACAAAUAUGUGUUAAUGUUUGGUGUAGCUUGGACUACUGCAAGGUCUUUUCAGGACUUUCAGUAGAAGCCUGUGAUGACUGCUAGAAAUCCACCACAGAUCACAAAUUAUGACCCUGCUUUGUACGGGGUUUUUAGGUAAACAGUUAAGUCAGCAUAAAUCACAGAGGACAGUCUGAGAGUGAUCAGAAAUACUUCAAUUCUCACGCUGCAUACCUUCCUAACAGAUUGUCAAAAGGUAAUUCUUCUCCUCAUCCUCUUUUUCUUCUCUCCUUUUUCUUCUCUUUUUUAUUCUUUUCCCUUUAAGCAUCAAUAAUUCUGUCCUAAUAUAAGUUUGGACAAAACAAAACCAUUGUUAUCUCUGAAAAAGGAACAGCAGUGGAAAGA